UGGGGAAUAUUGGACAAUGGGCGCAAGCCUGAUCCAGCCAUACCGCGUGGGUGAAGAAGGCCUUCGGGUUGUAAAGCCCUUUUGUUGGGAAAGAAAUCCAGCUGGUUAAUACCCGGUUGGGAUGACGGUACCCAAAGAAUAAGCACCGGCUAACUUCGUGCCAGCAGCCGCGGUAAUACGAAGGGUGCAAGCGUUACUCGGAAUUACUGGGCGUAAAGCGUGCGUAGGUGGUCGUUUAAGUCUGUUGUGAAAGCCCUGGGCUCAACCUGGGAACUGCAGUGGAAACUGGACGACUAGAGUGUGGUAGAGGGUAGCGGAAUUCCUGGUGUGCAGUGAAAUGCGUAGAGAUCAGGAGGAACAUCCAUGGCGAAGGCAGCUACCUGGACCAACACUGACACUGAGGCACGAAAGCGUGGGGAGCAAACAGGAUUAGAUACCCUGGUAGUCCACGCCCUAAACGAUGCGAACUGGAUGUUGGAUGCAAUUUGGCACGCAGUAUCGAAGCUAACGCGUUAAGUUCGCCGCCUGGGGAGUACGGUCGCAAGACUGAAACUCAAAGGAAUUGAC
rnacentral:rRNA from 1 species